rnacentral:rRNA from 1 species
AACGAACGCUGGCGGCAGGCCUAACACAUGCAAGUCGAGCGAGGACUUCGGUUCUAGCGGCGGACGGGUGAGUAACGCGUGGGAAUGUGCCCUUCUCUACGGAAUAGCCCUGGGAAACUGGGAGUAAUACCGUAUACGCCCUAUUGGGGAAAGAUUUAUCGGAGAAGGAUCAGCCCGCGUUGGAUUAGGUAGUUGGUGGGGUAAUGGCCUACCAAGCCGACGAUCCAUAGCUGGUUUGAGAGGAUGAUCAGCCACACUGGGACUGAGACACGGCCCAGACUCCUACGGGAGGCAGCAGUGGGGAAUCUUAGACAAUGGGGGCAACUCUGAUCUAGCCAUGCCGCGUGAGUGAUGAAGGCCUUAGGGUUGUAAAGCUCUUUCAGCUGGGAAGAUAAUGACGGUACCAGCAGAAGAAGCCCCGGCUAACUCCGUG